GGCCUCUGGACCUGCUCAUCAGCAUCACCCGGUUAGAGUCAAGGCAAAAAGACCACAGGAGGAUCCAAGAGGGACAAACCCAAGGCCACAAUAGUCACACACAAUAAGAGCAGGCUUUGUCCAGUGGUCACACCCUCCCCUAAACCCCAUUUCACACACACACUCCCAGGCGCAUAUGGGGUUCAUGGCCCCUGAGCCACCCACGUCUUCCGCCCACCUCCCUCACAGUCUCCUGUGGUUGGCCCUUUCCCAGGGCCGGCACGCCCUCCUCCCCUCCAGCUCACCGAGCGAUCUCCCUUCCUUCCUUCCAGUACUUCCUCCUGGUUGUUCUCCUGAGGAGGAAAAGAAGGGGUGACUCUCCACAUCCUUGCAGCCUCACCUCAUCAUCCCUGCCUGCUGCCUGGCCACACCUGGUCACUCAAGGCCUCCUUCAGUGCCCUGGUCUCAGCUGCCUCAGUAGGCUAGUGGAGCACAGCCAGGGGAGGACAGGAGGAGGGUAUUCUCUGGAGACAGGUGUGCCCCCCUACUGACAGACCCUGCUCAGCAGAACAGAAGCCCUUCAGCGAAUGAGACCUACCCUCUGCGGAAGGCUGGUUAGGAAGCAUCCAUGUCUACUUCAGCGUCUCACCUCCCUGUCACAAACAGAUCACCACAGUUUUCCUCCAGCCUCAUGCUGUCCUCCCCCUAGAGGAAUGUGGGUACAUGGAAUGUUCUCCACCUCCAUGCAUGUCCAGUGACGUUUUGGAUCAGCGUGUCAGGGACGCUGUCAGGCGUGCCUGCUUGCACUCAUCCAGCCCUGGCUGGAUGUGAUUCUACGAGCAGAGCAAGACCAGCAUGUUCUGUCCUCCAGUUAUCACAGCAGUUACUCUGGCAACCUGCAGGCCCUCCCUGAGGUGUCUGACGGCUGAAGCAGGGUCCAGUGGGAUGGAAUGAAGGAUGGGCACCCUGGAAGACAGCCCAUGGAGGGGCCCUUUGGGUCCCCUGCUGCCCUGGGCACCUGCGAAGAGAGAAGCUGAGCCACCCUGCCUGAGGCAGUAGGCAGUAAGAGCUGAAGGGAGCAGGAGGUUAGGGCCCAGCGGGAAGUGAGAGCAGUGGGGCCAGCACCAGGGUAAGCUGAAUAAAGCUCUCGCCUGAGGCGCAGAAUUUAAAGAUUUGCCAAAAAACUCAGCAGCCAAGAAAUUUAAUACUUCCAGCAAAUCAAAGCAAAACUGUCCAUGAUAAACAAGACUGGAGUUAGGGUAAGGCAAGUGAGGCCAAUACAAGGCCCGCAAAUCCAGUGUUGUAUCUUGUCUUUAUUAAAGGUUUGAUUUUGUUGUAUGUGCUUUGCAUUCAUUUUGAUUUAAAAAAAUACUAUAUUGAAAUAUCAUUUAUCUUAAUUACUGAGCUUGUUCGAGGUCCUUUGAAUGUUGCACUUGAGGUCAAUGUCUUUCUAGCCUCACCCUAGUCUCAGCCCUGGAGGGGAGGGACAGACUGAGUCAGGAGCAGGAAGGAGCACAGUGCCAUUGAAAACGCAUCAUGCGACAAGGAGCCGGGAGACAUGGGUUCCCAUCUGUCCCCUUCACAGAUUCUCCUCAGUUCUGAUAGAAUCAGAUUCAGAUUUCACAAGACUGCAACAUGAAUAUUGCUGCUGGGGAGCACAGGUGCCUAGCAUGCACAUGGACCCCCUCCAUACAGGGUGAUAGUGAGUCAUAAGGUGGCACCCACCUCCUGCCCUCCGUCAGGUUGUCUGCUAAGGGGAGGAGAUGGGAGAAGAAGGGGAGAGGGGAAUGGAGGGGGUGGGCAGGGAAGAAGCUGGCAAGUUUGCAUGACUGGGAGCAGGAAUGGCAGAUGAGCUGUAAUUGCCUGAAGCUGAGAGAGGCUGUUGAUAAAUGUUACUAAUAAUCAACCUUCAGAUCUGACACCCAGCUCAGGCUGGGAUUACUGUUUUGAAUGGAAAUUGAACCCAAACCAAUAAUUACCCUGGUGAGCGAUGCCAGUCUUACUCUGGAGCCUGUUUUAGGCAGGGAAAUCGCACCUGCAUGUCAGUACCAGCCCAUGAGGUAGAUGAUCCAGCAAAGGACUCCCUCCUGGGGUCACACCAAGAGCACAAACUGGCCUGGACUCUGCCAACACAAUGGGCCACAGUAUCAACAGGAAUGCUCACCCUCUUCCUAGAGCUUACAGUGGGUGAGGGACUCCCACCCAUCAUUGUCAAUCUUCAAGCAGAGUCCAGACCUCAGACCCCACUCCCACUGUCCUUCCCCCUUGGGCUUCAUGGAAGUCCCUUGUUGACAUCAUCCCAUGCUGUCAGAGCAGGUGCUUAGGGGGAGGGGUGGCUGUCCCCUAAACACAGGUGCAGCCCUCCAAUCCUCUGUCUGGGACCCUUGGAUAGCCACACGUUGCUGUUAGGCUGGGAGGCUCUUGGAAUGGCCUGAGCUGGGGCCAGGUGAGAGGGAUGAGGCCACAGUAGGCCCCAGAGCCCAUCGCAGCCCUUGCCUCUGGUCCCU
rnacentral:lncRNA from 1 species